UCCCCUAAUUCCUUCCUCAACAUCUCGACAUUCAUUGUCGUGUGCGAGGCUUUUCUCCGCAUCUCGCCACAUUUCGGCUUAUGGCUGAAGAUUUUUAAUGUGAAGCCCAAGGUAGUGGGCGGCGAGCACACCGAGUGCGGGGGCGCUAUGGUGAGCAAGAUGCCCAACGUCACAUUUCCAACAGGCACCUUUAACGAUUCCGUCAAGGAGUGGCAACAGCAGUGGUUUUACAUCACCGAGCCGCGCGGCAUGGAAUGGACCGCUACUCCCGAGUUUCGAUCCGGUGCCCCUCUGCGGCUUACAUCCUGGGUCAAGAAGGGCCUGAACUGGUCUUCGUCCAACGAAUUGUCAGUGCUCCAAACGCGCGUUAAAGACAUGGGAGACAAGAACAUUGAACUUGUUAAUGUAGUCCAGGUGAUGUUAGUUCGCCGGAUCCUGCCUUGUCAACACCGGACUUGCAAUCUAUGGGAACUCGAUCCGGCCAAGCACCAGACCCUGCGAGAGCUUUUUGGCUCCUCGCACAAGGACAUCUGGAAGGUGCUCUUCAAGUCCAGCAAAUCAUGGCCGGACUCCGCCGAAGACCACGGGUACCAACUGUCCCGCCCUGCAAGUUCGGUAAGUCAUCAUACUUUUUAUCCGCAUAACCCAAGGGAAGCGCUUAACAUGUUU
rnacentral:rRNA from 1 species